UACAGAGGUCCCAAGCGUUGUUCGGAUUCAUUGGGCGUAAAGGGUGCGUAGGCGGCGCGGUAAGUCGGGUGUGAAAUCUCGGGGCUUAACUCCGAAACUGCAUUCGAUACUGCUGUGCUUGAGGACUGGAGAGGAGACUGGAAUUUACGGUGUAGCGGUGAAAUGCGUAGAUAUCGUAAGGAAGACCAGUGGCGAAGGCGGGUCUCUGGACAGUUCCUGACGCUGAGGCACGAAGGUCAGGGGAGCAAACGGG
rnacentral:rRNA from 1 species